AUUGGAAAUACUAUACUACAAUUAAUUUAUUUAAUACAUGGAGUGUUUAGUAAAACUGUCGACCAAUCAACACAGAAAGCGAGAUAUCUAAAAUUUGUAUACCAUUAUAGAUUUUCAUUAUCAUACAUCAAUUUUAAAUGCAAUUCCAAAUAAAAUGGCUUUGAAAACCGUGUAUUAAGCGCUUAUCGUUCAUUCACCGUGCCUGUAUCGUGUGUUCAUCAUUCAUCGUGCAUCGUGUGUGUAUCGUGCGUUCAUCAUUCAUCAUUCAUUUUUCAUUAAUCCUACGUGUAAAGCUCAUCACUCAUCGUGCGUGUAUCGUGCAUUCACCGUGCGUGCGUGUAUCGUGCGUGCGUGUAUCGUGUGUGUGGUCAGUUUGAAUUUUAGAAGGUCUAUAUAAAAGGCCCCGAAAUGGUCCGGGUACACAGUUAUCUUCCCUCAAUUUUCGUUGUCCACAAAUAUAGUUCCCUUUAAUUUCAGUAUAUUUUUUCUUAAUUUUUUUUUUUGCCUUUCCUUUGAAUUUUUUCCCCUAUUUUUGCUUUUAUGUGAAUGUAAAGUCAUCUAAGAUAAUUUCUGUAAAAUUUCUUUUUGAUAUUUUGAGCAGAAAUGAGUGAUUUGGUUGGGUAAACAUAGGUGUAAUUUCCUCUUUUCGGAAGCUCUCUGGCUUAACCCAUACUGGUGUCCUUGUGUUUUGUGUUGCCAAGAGAAAAUGAGCCGAUGAAGUUUUCUAAUUUUUUGAUAUGUUUUGUGGUUAAUGCCAAACUUUAUGUACACCAAAUCUUGUUAGAAAAGCGCAGGACAGUGAUAUUGUAGCAUCCUAGAUACUUGGACCGAGUCCACCAGUUAUAACCCUCAUCGCCGGUACAAACUACAGAGUACUGUUUACACAUGGAGCAGUCACCAUCAUAACAUCUGAGUGUAGCCUCCAGGACUUUGGGUCAGCUGAUGGAACCAGUAGGUGGGAACGAGUCCUUUUGCUGUCAUUGUCUGCAGGUGAAGUAGAAGAAGUGCAUGGGGAUUCGUCAAGGAUAGCAUUCUGUUCAACAUUCAUUUCAACAGCAGGAGCAUGGUUUUCUUCUGGAUCUGGUGAUGUGGACAGCUGUAAGACAGGGACUUUAUUCCAUGGCGUACUGUUAUGCUUGAACUUGUAACCAGGUGCAACUCUCCCUCUCUGCAGUCCAAUAAGGCCCUUGUUGAAUGGAGGGGAACCCUUUGGAAACAUUUUGAUGAUAAAUAGAAUAUUCUGGUGCAGUGUAAAGCGUCGAAUGAAACUUUGAUGACAGACCUCAAAAUUGUUAGUUUUUAUACUUUUUUGCAUUGUGUAACUUUGAUGCUGAUUUUUAAUUGGCUUAAUGAUGCUGUCAAUCAUUUUUGUUUAUUGUUUUGAUCUAUUUUUAGCUGUGGGAUUAAAGAAAGUGAUUUUUAA